GCAAGUUAGGCGGGACUAGGAGUUGAGGAGGAUUCUGGGAAAUGUAGUAAAGAGAAAUUUUGUGAUCCAGGCAGGAAGUGACAUAGCAGGCAGACUCAGAAUAUACGUAGGGACAAGCAGGGAAUCACUUGCUUCCUCUUCCUCCUGCUCUCUUCUCUGGAGCCACCAUGUGAGCCUGAAAAGAGAGGAUGCAUGCUGCCAGCAUCCUUGAUCAGAUAAGUCUUUAUAAAAUAUAUAGAUUAAUAAUUAUGAUUGAUACUUAAAACAGAGACAGCAGAUAAGAAAUCCUAGCCAUUGGCCAGCAGCAUUGUAAAUAAUAUUAACCUCUGUGUGUUAUUUUGGGCACCCACGUGGUGGCAGGGCUCAGGCAGCUUGUCGGAAAGACUUAUCAUUACACCGCUCUGUAGCCUGGGUGGUGAGUGCCUUGAUGACAUGGCCACAUUUUAUUCAGCUUGUUUCCCUAAACACAGAUCUCUGAGUCCCAUACAAGGCAUUUGCAUGAUAAAUUCCCUGAGGGAAAGGACAAUUCAGUUGUUGUGUCUUUAUUUAUUAUCACUUCCUUUUUCCACGAUGGCCUCACAGAUGAGUUGUUUUUGCAUUCUUUUCCUGGAAUGUUUUAUGUAUCAUUUCUGAAUGAGUAAAAACAAACAUAGGUUGGAGUGAUGACUCAAAGAUAUCUUGGGGUACUUAGUGCAGACACAUGGCUGCAAUCUAAGAGUUCUGACUGAAUUAAGUGUGCUGGGAUUGACCCACUCUGUGUAACUACAGAGACGUUGCUGUUCAGAGUCUGGAUCCCAGCACCCAUGUUGGGUGGCUCACAACUGCCUGUAACUCCAGUUUCAGGGGAUCUGGUGCUCUCUUCUGGUUUUUGAGACCAUCUGAACAUACAUGUGCACAUACAUGUGAGCACACACAGAUGCAAGCACAUAGAUAAUCUUAAGCACCCCUUGAUAACAUUUGGAAGCACAUGUCCCUGUUAUUCCAGGUUCACACCCUUCAGGGGUUAGGCUAAGCUUUGGUAUCUUUUCCAAGAAUGGUUUGUGGACCUUUCUUUAUUUGUAACUCAUUUCCAAUAGAAUUUACAACUUUGGAAAUCCUCUCCACUUUCACUGUGACUGUUGAUAAAACCACCUUGGAAUCAGCAUUACAAGAAAGGGUAAAAUUAGACUGUCUAUAAAUAUGCUUAAUUUCCCCAGUUGUUAUUUUCAAGAGCUAAAAGAAAACCAAAGAAUUGACUUGAAGGCCAAGAACAAAAGCCCCUGUUUUCAUUUGUGUGGUGUUUGGAUUUCGAAGCUGAUUUUGUUUUUGUUGUAAAUUGUUGGCAGUGGAUUGGCAUUUGGUUUAGUGUAUUUCUUACCCUCAAGUGAUUAUUCAUGGUCCCUUAAAGAGGGAUUUACCAACAAGUAGUUUCAAAAAAACACUGAAUGAUCAAUGAAUAAUCUUCUUGAGAACUUGGCAGAUAUACUUAGAUUUCAUUGUAAGACAGCUCCUUACAAAGAAUUUGAAGACUGUGAACUUUAUAUGCAGAAACGCUUGUAUAUUAGUGACCUGGAGCCAGGAAAAAAACAUCCUAUUAUGUAAAUAUUUUUGCAUGUUUUUGAGGGAUUCUGAAGCUAAUGUAGCAUCUCAAUCAAAUUAUAUUCUUAAUUGGUCUGCAUAAGAAAAAUAGCUCAUUUGUCUCUGGGUCACAGGAUCUUGGGCGGCAGUUCCUCUACUGCCGGCUAGAGCCCUCUGGGGAGAUUUUCAUGCAGCCCGGGCUUGUCUCAGUGUACUUACUGAGAGUGAGGGUUGGCCUCUGCUCCACAGCACCCUAGGUGAUCUUGGGCUCUGUAUAGGAUGACAAUGCCUGCCUGACGCAGUGGCUGUGGGGACUGAGUAAGGACUGUAUGAGGAAAGGGGGUACUUUCAUGGAACACAGAAGAAUAUCUACAACCCAUACUCAGUGUGAAGACAGGGGUCAUAUCCUCUUCCAUGGAGCAGUACAGCCCAGAAUCGUGGGGCAGGGUAAGAUCACCAUGUGGCAGCUGUGAAGAAACCACAGCCUUCAUCUAUGCUGCUUGUUUAGCGUCUGUGUGGUUAUCUAUGCUCUCAGCUCUCAGUAAGUAAGACCAUGUGGUUCAAUCUUAUCAUGGAGCCUGACUCACAGAAAUCUCAAUGGGUCACCUAUUCCCUUGUAGCCAGGGAGGUGUUGGGUUAGCUUGCAUCACAUAUGGGCCACACACCUGAAGGCUUGAACUGAUCACAUUUCUGUCUCUGUGUGACAAAUAUCCUGAUCCGCCCCCAUCAACAUAGAGGAGGAAGAGUUUAUUGAAGCAUACAAUUCCAGGUUGUAGUCCAUCUUUGGGGGAAGUUAAAGGAAGAACUCAAACAGCUAGUCGUAUCACAUCUGUAGCCAAGCAGAGAGAGAUGAACACGUUCACACUGCCUGCUUGCUUCCUCUCAGCAGCUUCCUUCACUCUUUCACAGUUCAGGACUCAGCCUAGGGAAUGAUGCUACCCACAGUGGGCCGGGUCAAUUAAUAAUAAUCAAGACAAUCCCAAAUUGACAUUGACAAGAGGCUAACCUGAUAUGGACAAUUCCUCAACUGAGACACACACACACACACACACACACACACACACACACACACACACACACACUCUCUCUCUCUCUCUCUGGUUCUAGAUUAUGGAAAAAUGUCAUUUAAAACCAACCAUCAGAAGGCCCAUUCACACAGGGUUCCUGACACUCACACAAAUCUCAUUGACUCAAGUCUAGUUGAAGGGACAGUGACGAUGGUUGUUGCCCACUGCUACUGACAUCAGAAUGACUUCACUGCCACAAGAUCUAGCCAGGAGAAAAAAAUCAACGUGGCCUGUGCUCACAUGAACACAGUUUUCAUUUCCAGAGGCAGUGGCGGAGGAUAUAUCUAUCUUAUUUGAAGUGCAGCCACCCCAAGGGGGCAUUUAGGAUGAACUGUAGGGCACCCCCUGUGGUAUUGUGUCUAAGGCUCAUGUCCUGGCAGAUGUGAGCUCUCUUCCUCUGAAUCCCCCCAGGACUGAGCACCUUUCUCUGGCAUUUUGCCUGGUUGUCUUUGUGGGCCUUGUUGACGCAUAACUUAGGGGAAAUUCUCUCAAGAACACAGGAUAUAAGCAUUGGGAUCUGGAGCUUAAGAUCCAUUUCUCUUUUUGCCCCAGACCAGGGCCAGACACAACAGGACACUGUUGUUUGCUGUCACACUUCUCCCAGGCAGAGUCCAACAAAAUAAGCAGGUAGUAGCAGCCGGCCUCUUAAGAAUGGAAAACAGCAGAGAAUGAUUUUACUGGGAAAGAUCGGGAAGAAAGCUCUGGAGACCAGGAUUCAGUGAAUGCAUCAUGGGGAGCAGCCAUCAGCUCUGAUGCAGUGGCUUCAGUGACAGGACACCAAGGAUGACCUCUGAUGCGUUUCCAUCCUAGAGCUGCUAUCAGCGGACAAAAUGCUCUAGGCUUCUGACAUGGUCAGAAUUGCUUUCUCUAACUGGGGCAGAGUUAGUCAUUUCUCAUUGCUGUACCAAAUGAAUAAAGAAACACAUAUUUUGGCUCACGGUUUUGGAGGUUUGACCCACGGCCAGCUGACUCCAAUGCUGUGGGCCUGGGGCGGAGCUGAGCAGUAGAGGCCAGAACAUAGAGUGAAGAAAAACAGCCCAGCUCAUGGUGGACAGGAGAGAGAGAGCAGGGUGGCGUGAGGGAAGCUCCCAGGAGGCAUCACAGCUCCCAAUCCUGGAGGGGGUCUCCCCGAGCAGCCUUACCACGCCCACCGAGCAGCCUUACCACGCCCACCACAAACAGGCGGCUGCACUUCCCACAGCGCCUCAAGGAGACAGAGACUAUUGAUUUGUAGAGAGAAGAGCAAAGCCGUUUAUUGAAUGUGAACCACGUGCCUGGUUAAAUACUUCCUUCCUGCAGUCACUUCAGACCUUCAACAACCGACCGUCUCAUGUAAGAGGAGGGGCGGCUGGCUUUCCCAGCGCAGUGAAGAAGCUUGGUAUGCAGCCCAGUGAAGGGUGGAGCU